UUGAACGCUGGCGGCAUGCCUUACACAUGCAAGUCGAACGGCAGCACGGGUGCUUGCACCUGGUGGCGAGUGGCGAACGGGUGAGUAAUACAUCGGAACAUGUCCUGUAGUGGGGGAUAGCCCGGCGAAAGCCGGAUUAAUACCGCAUACGAUCUACGGAUGAAAGCGGGGGACCUUCGGGCCUCGCGCUAUAGGGUUGGCCGAUGGCUGAUUAGCUAGUUGGUGGGGUAAAGGCCUACCAAGGCGACGAUCAGUAGCUGGUCUGAGAGGACGACCAGCCACACUGGGACUGAGACACGGCCCAGACUCCUACGGGAGGCAGCAGUGGGGAAUUUUGGACAAUGGGCGAAAGCCUGAUCCAGCAAUGCCGCGUGUGUGAAGAAGGCCUUCGGGUUGUAAAGCACUUUUGUCCGGAAAGAAAUCCUUGGCCCUAAUACGGUCGGGGGAUGACGGUACCGGAAGAGUAAGCACCGGCUAACUACGUG
rnacentral:rRNA from 1 species